rnacentral:rRNA from 1 species
UACGGAGGGUGCAAGCGUUAUCCGGAUUCACUGGGUUUAAAGGGUGCGUAGGCUGGCAUUUAAGUCAGUGGUGAAAUACCUGAGCUUAACUUGGGAACUGCCAUUGAUACUAUUUGUCUUGAAUGUCGUGGAGGUUAGCGGAAUAUGUCAUGUAGCGGUGAAAUGCUUAGAUAUGACAUAGAACACCUAUUGCGAAGGCAGCUAACUACGCGAAUAUUGACGCUGAGGCACGAAAGCGUGGGGAUCAAACAGG